rnacentral:lncRNA from 1 species
AUUGUCAAUAAUUCGCAAGAAAGGUUACAUAAUGUUAAGAGGCAAGUCUGAAGAGCAAGUAAAAUACUAAUGACUUUUCAAUAAUCAAAUUUGAGAAACCACUAGAGAUAUUCUCUAGUCAAGGUAAUAUAAUAGCUUCAACGAAAAAAGAUACUCAAACCUGUCAUUUCAACAAAAAAAGAUACCCAGAGCAUCUUUGCUCUGGGUAUCUUUGUCCCUGAAUGAACAAAUAAACGAAUGUGCCUUGAUCAUAAAAUAAAAGAAAGAUAAACCUCAACAUAUGAGUAAAGCAUCACAAAUGACAGUCUAUAAGAAAGUUGCUGCAGGUGAAAUUCUCUGCGUAGCAUGAACCAUGAAGUAAUUUGCUAACUUAAUCAUCAUGGUGAUUAUAAUCAAAAGAUGUUAGGCAAAUCUAUUAUACAAAACUGAAAACAAAUGAGGCCUGCAUUGAUAUGAUUACUAAGUUGACAUAAAGAUGUACAUCACAUUGCAUAUCAACUCAUGAACAACACAAAUUUGAUAUGAAAGAAAAACUGAAUCUGGUUAGCAUCAAAUAAAACUAUGUAGCAAAAUUCCUAUUCAAUAAAGCUAGACAAGGAUGGACAUGAUACAUAGGAAGAACUGUAGAGUUUACUAAUGAUAUAAAGAUAUAUUUUCUGAAUUUCAUCAUUCAAUGACAGCCAAAGCAAUAAUAUACCCCUAGAUUCUAGACCUCUAGAAAUGCACACUUAGAGCAACCAUAGAACUAUUCGCUGCAUCAUGUUCAAUGGGGGAAAUAGAAACAUACUUUCGAUAAGUGUAACAGCAUGAGCUAAUUAUGCAAAUUCUUCAAGUGAUUCAUCAACAGAAAAUGAAUUAUAUAUUCAGUGCCUUUACAUUCAACUCCAACAAAGUAGGCUUCCUCUAGACAAACCUAUAUUCUUAAUAUGAAAAUUCUUUAGUUUUAAAAUGAUGACAAAAUGAUCUAAAUAUCAGUUUGAAAUAUAUUUUGCCAGAAAAGUGCAAAGUGAAAAACACAUAAAUAAAAGAGAAAAACCAAAGGCUAAAGAAAUUGAAAUGUGUCCAAAAAUAUUAUUCAUGAAAGAUCUGUGAUAAAAGAAUAGCUAGGAUGCAAUUCAAGAGUGAGAUAAUGUCUCUUUUUUCUUUCUUAACAAAAAGACUGACAAAAGUCACAAUUCCUAUAUAGUAAUUGUCAAUAAUUCACAAGCAAGGUUACAGAAUGUUAAGAGGCAAGCCAGAAAAGCAAGUAAUAAAUUAGACUUUUCAAUAAUCAAAUUUGAGAAACCAGUAGAGAUAUUCUCUAGUAAAGGGCUAAUAUAAUAGCUUCAACAAAAAAUGAUACUCAAACCUGAUUCUCAAAUUCUAAUAAGUGAAGCAUCAAUGCUCCGGGUCUCUUUGUCCCUGAAUGAACAAAUAAAGAAUGUGCCUUGAUCAUAAAAUAAAAGAAAGAUAAGCCUCAACAUAUGACUAAAGCAUCACAAAUGGCAGUCUAUAAGAAAGCUGUUGCAGGUGAAAUUAUCUGCGAUGUUAGGAAAAUCUAAAGCAUCACAAAUCUAAAACAGUUAACAAAUGCUUGAUUUGUGAUACUUAAUCAUCAUGGUGAUUGUAAUCAAAAGAUGUUUAGCAAAUCUAUUGUACAAAACUGAAAACAAAUGGGGCCUGCACUGAUAUGAUUACCAAUUUGACCAAAAGAAGUACACAUCAUGUUGCAUAUCAACUCAUGAACAACACAAAAUUUGAUAUAAAAGAAAAACUGAAUCUGGUUAGCAUUAAGUAAACUAUGUAGCAAAAUUCCUAAUCAAUAAAGACAUGACAGAUAGGAAGAAUUGUGGAGUUUACUAAUGCACCAAUUUGAGCUCAAUUAAACAGGAAAUACUGGACCUGAAGCCACUUUUGAUUUCAGAUCUGAGAUUAGCUUCUUUAGGUUGAAAAUCUUCAAGCCAAACUAACUAGAAUGGUCAAAACCACACAACUGGGCCAAAAUAAGCAUGUCAAUUAAAUGACUCAAAAAAACAAUCACUUAAAUGUUUCAACUGGAAUUAUCAUCUCAAUUUAAACCUUUUACAUAUAUGAUAUUAGGAAUUAAAAUCAAUAAUCACAACAGCGGCUGAAAGCUUAUUCUCCUUAAAUAAAUAGGGAA